UAUACGCUUUCGUGUAGCUUUUGUGCUGGAGAAGAGAUGACUCACUGCCUGGGUAUUUUAAAGUGACAGGGACAGUUGACUGUAACUGGUGGCAUUUUUAUGAAGCUAGAAUUUAAGAGAGGGGGAGGAUUUAUGACCUAAUAUUACAUAAAGAUUCAAGACACUUCUGGUUGAAGUGAAGACCCUACUUUCCACAAGUGAAAGCUGCAAUGGACUGUUAUUCUUUCAUAGUCUGUCAAUCAAGGCAGCUUCCAGUUACUAUUAGUAAGUAUUAGCCAUUACGGAUUUCAGCAUUACAUAUUGUGACUGCUGGAGCUAUCUGACUCAUGUGAAUUACUGGGAAGGGACCAUCAUGCAUCAUCCACAAGGGGAACACCAGAUAGAGUUUUAACUGGACAUGCUCGGGAAGAGGAACUAGACUCUUAUACAUGCAUAUCAGCUGAAUAGAGGACCUUUCAGGAGAUGCACAUGAAGCCUUUAACUCCGCAGCAUCUGGAAGACAAACAGCAGAGUUGCACCCAGCAGAACCACUAUCAUCAGGUAA